rnacentral:misc_RNA from 1 species
GUGUGAUAAUCUUAUAGCUUUCUAUGAACUGAACUCUCAUUCUAAUCUUCAUCGAACUUGAUCUUCUUGGGAGUUGGUUGGACACUACCCACAAUUUCCGGACACUCAUAAUCAAUCCCAGCAGCUCUUAUCCUCUUCUGUCUAGCCUGAUCUCGCUUCAAAAUCCUUUCCACCAACUUCUUGUGCUCAUCCAAUGUCCUUUCCUUGUUGUGCUGCUUCCGCUCAAGUUCAGACCAAUUUAAGGGCGUGUGGCGAUAGUUAAAACCUUUCCAUAGUUUGGGAUGAACAUGCUCGGGAGCAAUUAGAUGGACUUUCAGAAUGUGUUCAUACAACAAAUAGUUAUGCAUGGAAUCAGCUACAAUUUUUGCUACCUCUGGAGAUUCAAAUUCAACAUAGCCAAAAUGCCUCGACUUCCCGGUCUUUCUAUUUCGUGCAAUUCUUAACCUUUUUACUUUCCCAAACUGCCCGAAAAACCCUUCCAUCUCCUUCUCGAAGAAACCAUGGGGUAUGCGACCAAUGUAGAGAACAGUAGCAGUACUUUCCAGUGGCUUCUGUGCCGGUAACUUACGACCAGGACCACCCUCCAACGGCAAGAAAUCGGCAGAUUCCUUCUUGUCGGAUGAGAGAGAAAUAGCCUUGUUGAGUUUCUUCUUCAUAGCUUUCUUCGCCUUAGCCCCCAUUGAACUGAAAGAGAAGUAGAAGGAAGAAGAAGGAAAGCG